UCUCAUUUCUUUUAAUAUCAUCCAUUUUGCUGCUGUUGACCUGCUAGUUUAUUUUACCCCCCAGUCAAUGGUUCAGUCCUGGCUUUUAUUGUUGCUAGGUAAGACUUUGCUGAUUGGAGGGCCGCCAUCAGGGGGGGUACAACUGGUACCCCAGUAAGGGACCCGGACCCCCAGGGAGGCCUGGCUGGCCCCAACACUCUUUCUUGUGAGUCAGUGAGUGACUGUCACUCACUGACGGCUGGGGGGGGGGAGGCAUCACUAUACACUGUGGCCCAGACUGGCCAGCGGGGGCUGGAGUGAGAGGGAGUGCCGUCCGGAGGGCAGCACACUGUCACUUUAAAAUGGCAGGGGCUGCAGUUGGUAUGAGACAUGCCUGUGCGGCUCUCAGUCACCAGCAGGGCCUGCUAGUAGCAGCUGACCAGUGACGUCAGCUCAUGUGUCCCUCCUCUUCCUGCCCAGUGCCUGCAAUAGAGGAGCGGAGCAGCCUGCUACACUGCACACAGAGGAUCAGAAUGCGCUGACAUAGUGAGGAGACGUCUGGGCAUCAAGUUCUGCAGAGAGAAGAUUUAGCUGGAAGAAAUCCUGGCGAUACGUAAAUGCGGAGGACUACCUGAGAUUCGGUGGACUGUGACGAUGACCAGCGUUUUUUAAUGUCAAUAAAAGUGUUAACGAGGGCUGUGGGGGAGUGUUUUUUUAAAUACAUUUUUCAUUUAAUGUGUUGUGUUUUUUAUAAUUAAAAUUUCAGGCUUA